GCCCCGAUCCUCGUCACGACUCACGACAUCGGUAAAAGCCCCCCGAAUGGAAACCGCCGUGACUGCAGCGGUAGCGGCGCCGGCGGUACCCGCCGGAUUCCACACAAAAACUUUGCCCCUCUCUGCCGGUUGCCGCCACCCAGCGGCACCGUGACUCCGGCGACCGCAAACCCAACCGCACCGGCACCGCUGUGGAUGGCUUCCGGUUUCUCGGCUGACUCCUCCCAGCUUCGCACCGGUUUCCCCCUCUCCCACCAGAUCUGCCGCCUGGGGGAGCCCGGCACGAAGUAGGGCAUUCGACCUCGACGGCCUCGACGGCUCGACCAUUUGAUUGCGGGAGAGAGGUGAGAAGUGUUCUCCAGUGUUCGAUUCAGUAUUAGAACUGAGGUAGCUGGUGCUACUGCUGCAUCAACAGGAGGCGUCUCCAUGGCAUCACCUUCAUCUUCCUCAAGACCACUGGAUCCUGCUUGGGUUCAUGCAAAAGUGGAUGCUGCUUCAAGAAAUGCCAUUAUAUGUCUUCAUUGUGGCAAAAAGAUUAGCAGGGGGCACAUUACUCGCUUUAAACAUCAUCUUGCUGGAAUUCCUGGGCAAGUUGAAUCUUGCAAGAAGGUGCCCAAUUAUGUGAAGCGUCAGAUAAUACAACAAAUUGAUGACAAGUGGAAAAGUGAAGAGAGAAGGUAUGAGAUUAGAGAGGUCUGCGAUUCACAUGUCGAAGAUUCUUCACAUGCUAUUUUCUCAACUGAAGGAGGCUCUGGAAGCCAAUUAAGACCACCGAGGAAGCGAAAAACAGGGUACUUUCCUCCGCAAGCUGCCACAGGCUCAGAGCCUAGCAGUGGUGCAUUUAUGGCUUCAGAAGACAUGGUUCAGCAUGGCAUGGGUGGUGGUGCAGAAGCUCCAAAUGAUCUGUCACACGAAGCUAGAAUUGCUAUGGCUAGAUGGUGGUAUGAUGCAGAUGUACCCUUUAGUGCGGCUAAAUCUCCUUUCUAUCAGCCUAUGCUAGAAACCAUAGUAUCUGCUGGGCUUGGCUUCAAGGGACCAUCUUAUCAUGACCUACGUAAGCCACUAUUGAAACAUAUUGCUGAAGACAUUCAUGAAUAUCUUGAUGAUCUGAAGAGAGAAUGGAGUAUACGUGGUUGCUCAAUUAUUGCUGACAGACAAAAGAGUGAUGGAGAGGGUUCCAUAAUCAGUUUUCUUGUAUACUGUCCACGCGGUACUAUGUUUUUGAAGUCCGUAGAUACUUCAACAGAGAGAGCAGAUUUACUUGCAAUAUUUGAUCAGGUUAUUAGAGAAGUUGGACCUAAAAACGUUGUUCAGUUUAUUACUGAUAUAGACCCAAGAUAUAAGGCUACUGUUAAGAUUCUGGAGGAAAGAUAUGGCACAUUUGUUUGGUCUCCGUGUGCAGUACAUUGCAUCGACUUAAUGUUGGAGAAUUUUGCAGAUCCUAGAUAUUUUCCUAAGAUCGAUGAAACCUUAGGUAAAGCCAGAAAGAUAACAAAGUUUAUAUACAAUCAUGCUUGGGCUUUGUCUUUAAUGAGGACAGAAUUCACAAAUGGUAGAGAUCUGUGUCGUCCUUCCAUCUCGAGAUUUGCUACUCAUUUUCUUAGUCUCCAAUGCAUUGCUAAGUUUGAAAAAGAGCUCCGCCAAAUGGUUACCAGCAACAAAUGGGUGAAAUCAACUUAUGCUAAAGGCAGUGUUGGAAAAGGUGUCGCAUCUAUUAUUUGGAAAGAUGUUGACUUCUGGGCCCAGUGCAAACAUGUUGUUAAGGUUACAGAGCCGCUGUUGUGCAUCCUGCGCUUGGUGUAUAGUAAUGAAAACCCUUCAUGGGCUACCUUUUUGAUGCAAUGGAAAAGGCAAAGGAGUCAAUAAGGGCAAGGAUGAUGCACAAGGCUUGUCUAUAUGAACCAUAUGUUCGAGGAAUCGAUGCAAGGAUGGAGAAGCAACUUCAUAGUCCGUUGCAUGCAGCAGGAUGCUUCUUCAACCCUGGUAUUUUCUUCAGCCCCUCUUUUAAGAUGCAAAGCUAUGCAUUUAGAGGGCUUAUGAAGACAAUAGCAAGUUUAGUCCCUGAUGGUGAGGUCCAAGAUAAGAUAUUUCUGCAGCUUGAGGAGUACAAGAAAUCAACAGGUGACUUUGGCCCUCCGAUUGCAAUUCGUCAAAGACAGAAACUUAAUCCAGUUGCAUGGUGGGACAACUUUGGUAAUGGAACCCUGGAGCUUCAAAGUCUUGCAGUCCGAGUCCUCAGCCAAUGUUGUAGUGCGACAGGGUGUGAAAGGAAUUGGGAUCUCCUCAAAUAUCUCCAUUCCACGAAGCUAAGCAGGCUUGAACGUUCAAGGUUCAAUGAUAUCAUAUUUGUUCGGUACAAUUUGAAGCUUCGAGAAAGGCAUAAAAACUAAAAUCAUUUCAUUUGUAAUUCCCACCCUGAGUUUCUACUUACAGUUCACUACUGUCAUGUAGGAACCUGCAUAAGCUUAAGGACACCAUCGAUCCUAUCAGCCUGGACAACAUCAAUGUUUUGGAUGAAUGGGUCAGGGAACAUCCUAGCCUUCUCUGUAUGGAUGACCUGAACUGGGAGAACGUAGAUGCACCAUUUGCCGAACCAACUUCUGACAAUGAAGAGCUCGUUGCUCUUGACGGCGACGAGGAUGACCCAAUGGCAGUACAUUCCUUGUCGGCAGAAGAUGAUUUGUACUGCCCGCAACCAGAUCAAGACCCCUACCUGUAUGUCACCCAAGACGGCGAACCUUAACCUGUCCCAUUAGACCAAGUAUAAGGGUGUCAGUGGCAAGCCUUACCCUUGCCUGUGCAAUAAUGCGAGGAGACCACGACUCAAACCUGGGACCUUCCGGUCACAGGCGGUAAGACUUCAAGAUGAGAAUGGGCCGGGUCGACCCAUUGGAUCGCUGGCCCGACCCACAAUAGCAAUGCCAAUGGGCCAUCGGGUCGGCCUCAAACGAGAAAUAGUCCAUUUAGAGGCGAACCUGUUGAGCUGAUGGGUAGAUAGGAUCGACUCGUGGCGUGACACUUCCCCCACGCGACACCAUCCAUAAGUGCGAUCCAUAAGUGCGCCGACAGGCUCCUCCGCUUUGGCAUGAAGGCGAGUGAGCAGGCGGCAGCGGGCGCGCCAUCCUCCCCUCGACAGCGGCGACUCGACAGCUCGCCCUCCUCUUCGGCGAAUCUCCUCUUUGAUAAGCUUCUCGUCUCUGCUUUCUUUCCCACACGAUUUCUCUUGUCAGAUCCAUGCUUACUUGAACACGAGAGCUCGUCCGCCGUUCCAAGCCUGAAUCUCAAGAGCUCGUAUUGGCCUUAUCAAGCCAACGUCUAAUUGUUCUUUUUCUGUAGCUAGGAUUUCUUGUUUCUUCUCAGAUCUACUGUGAUUUGUUCUAAUUCAGCGGAAAAAACUUUUUAAUAUUUCUUUUAACUGUAAUAACAUAGCAACAACGAUGCAAUAACAUAUAGUGGGGUUAUAUAGCA